UUGCUUUUAUCUCCCUCCUGCUGUUAAUAACUAGGUAAUGCAUGAAGAAAAUACCUAAAACCCUCUGUCAACACUAUCCUGGUUAAACCCUACAAUUAGCUACACCUGGCUUUGUAUUAGCUUUUUUCACCUUACCAAAAAGGAUGCUUAGGAACAUCAUCUGUGUUUGUUAAAAAGUGCAAAGCUCAGAAGGGUUUGAAUUGAGGUGUUUUUGUUGUAGGCGCAUGCCUUAACAACACACUGCAUUUAGUUUCUGCUGUUAAUAACUAGGUAAUGCAUGAAGAAAAUACCUAAAACCCUGUCAACACUAUCCUGUUGCAACUGACUCCAGUCACUGGCAGGCAAAUUUUUCGGUUAAACUCUACAAUUAGCUGCAACUGGCUUUGUAUUAGCUUUUCUCACCUUACCAAAAAAGGCGCUUAGGAGCAUCAACUGUGUUUGUUAAAAAGUGCAAAGCUCAAAAGGGUUUGAAUUGAGGUGUUUUUGUUGUAGGCGCAUGCCUUAACAACACACUGCAUUUAGCUUCUGGAUUUUAUUUUUCUUUCUCCUAUGUUUAAUGUUAUAAUCCUGCACCCAUGGAAGCUAAAUUUAUUGCACAGGACCC
rnacentral:lncRNA from 1 species